CUAAGUACCUGAAGGAAGAGAAAGAAAUUCGAUUCCGUAAGUAGCGGCGAGCGAACGCGGAUUAGCCCAAACCAAUAAAGUUUUCUUUAUUGGGGUUGCGGACAUAUCAUAACGAAGAGGUAUCGUAAUUGAAGAGGUUUGGAAAGACCCACCACAGAAGGUAAUAGUCCUGUAUGUUAAACGAGAAGACUUUAGAUAUGAUCCAGAGUACCACGGGACACGUGAAAC
rnacentral:rRNA from 1 species